AUUGAACGCUGGCGGCAGGCCUAACACAUGCAAGUCGAGCGGAUGACGGGAGCUUGCUCCUUGAUUCAGCGGCGGACGGGUGAGUAAUGCCUAGGAAUCUGCCUGGUAGUGGGGGACAACGUUUCGAAAGGAACGCUAAUACCGCAUACGUCCUACGGGAGAAAGCAGGGGACCUUCGGGCCUUGCGCUAUCAGAUGAGCCUAGGUCGGAUUAGCUAGUUGGUGGGGUAAUGGCUCACCAAGGCGACGAUCCGUAACUGGUCUGAGAGGAUGAUCAGCCACACUGGAACUGAGACACGGUCCAGACUCCUACGGGAGGCAGCAGUGGGGAAUAUUGGACAAUGGGCGAAAGCCUGAUCCAGCCAUGCCGCGUGUGUGAAGAAGGUCUUCGGAUUGUAAAGCACUUUAAGUUGGGAGGAAGGGCAGUAAGCUAAUACCUUGCUGUUUUGACGUUACCGACAGAAUAAGCACCGGCUAACUCUGUGCCAGCCACCGCCGUAA
rnacentral:rRNA from 1 species